rnacentral:rRNA from 1 species
AGUGGGGAAUAUUGGACAAUGGGGGCAACCCUGAUCCAGCGACGCCGCGUGUGUGAAGAAGGCCUGCGGGUUGUAAAGCACUUUUAGUGGGGACAAAAAGCCACGGGCUAAUACCCUUUGGUCUUGAUUUAACCCAAAGAAAAAGCACCGGCUAACUCUGUGCCAGCAGCCGCGGUAAUACAGAGGGUGCAAGCGUUAAUCGGAAUUACUGGGCGUAAAGCGUGCGUAGUCGGUUAUUUAAGUCGGAUGUGAAAUCCCCGGGCUCAACCUGGGAAUUGCAUUCGAUACUGGAUAGCUAGAGUUCGGCAGAGGGAAGCGGAAUUUCUGGUGUAGCGGUGAAAUGCGUAGAUAUCAGAAGGAACAUCAGUGGCGAAAGCGGCUUCCUGGACCAGAACUGACGAUCAGGCACGAAAGCGUGGGGAGCAAA